UACGUAGGGUGCGAGCGUUAAUCGGAAUUACUGGGCGUAAAGCGUGCGCAGGCGGUUAUGCAAGACAGAUGUGAAAUCCCCGGGCUCAACCUGGGAACUGCAUUUGUGACUGCAUAGCUAGAGUACGGUAGAGGGGGAUGGAAUUCCGCGUGUAGCAGUGAAAUGCGUAGAUAUGCGGAGGAACACCGAUGGCGAAGGCAAUCCCCUGGACCUGUACUGACGCUCAUGCACGAAAGCGUGGGGAGCAAACAGGAU
rnacentral:rRNA from 1 species